GAUGAAGAACGUAGCGAAAUGCGAUAAGUAGUGUGAAUUGCAGAAUUCAGUGAAUCAUCGAAUCUUUGAACGCACAUUGCCCCCUUUGGUAUUCCUUAGGGCAUGCCUGUUCGAGCGUCAUUUAAACCUUCAAGCUCAGCUUGGUGUUGGGUGACUGUCCGCUUCACCGCGGACUCGCCUCAAAAUUAUUGGCGGCCGGUACAUUGGCUUCGAGCGCAGCAGAAACGCGAACUCGGGCCCGUCGUAUUGGCUCCCAGAAGCUAUCUUCACAAUUUUGACCUCGGAUCAGGUAGGGAUACCCGCUGAACUUAAGCAUAUCAAUAAGCGGAGGA
rnacentral:misc_RNA from 1 species